GACGAACGCUGGCGGCGUGCUUAACACAUGCAAGUCGAACGGAAAGGCCCUGCUUUUGUGGGGUGCUCGAGUGGCGAACGGGUGAGUAACACGUGAGUAACCUGCCCUUGACUUUGGGAUAACUUCAGGAAACUGGGGCUAAUACCGGAUAGGAGCUCCUGCUGCAUGGUGGGGGUUGGAAAGUUUCGGCGGUUGGGGAUGGACUCGCGGCUUAUCAGCUUGUUGGUGGGGUAGUGGCUUACCAAGGCUUUGACGGGUAGCCGGCCUGAGAGGGUGACCGGCCACAUUGGGACUGAGAUACGGCCCAGACUCCUACGGGAGGCAACAGUGGGGAAUAUUGCACAAUGGGCGGGAGCCUGAUGCAGCAACGCCGCGUGCGGGAUGACGGCCUUCGGGUUGUAAACCGCUUUCGCCUGUGACGAAGCGUGAGUGACGGUAAUGGGUAAAGAAGCACCGGCUAACUACGUG
rnacentral:rRNA from 1 species